UGCAGUCGAACGGCAGCACAGUAAGAGCUUGCUCUUAUGGGUGGCGAGUGGCGGACGGGUGAGGAAUACAUCGGAAUCUACCUUUUCGUGGGGGAUAACGUAGGGAAACUUACGCUAAUACCGCAUACGACCUUCGGGUGAAAGCAGGGGACCUUCGGGCCUUGCGCGGAUAGAUGAGCCGAUGUCGGAUUAGCUAGUUGGCGGGGUAAAGGCUCACCAAGGCGACGAUCCGUAGCUGGUCUGAGAGGAUGAUCAGCCACACUGGAACUGAGACACGGUCCAGACUCCUACGGGAGGCAGCAGUGGGGAAUAUUGGACAAUGGGCGCAAGCCUGAUCCAGCCAUACCGCGUGGGUGAAGAAGGCCUUCGGGUUGUAAAGCCCUUUUGUUGGGAAAGAAAAGCAGUCGGCUAAUACCCGGUUGUUCUGACGGUACCCAAAGAAUAAGCACCGGCUAACUUCGUGCCAGCAGCCGCGGUAAUACGAAGGGUGCAAGCGUUACUCGGAAUUACUGGGCGUAAAGCGUGCGUAGGUGGUUGUUUAAGUCUGUUGUGAAAGCCCUGGGCUCAACCUGGGAAUUGCAGUGGAUACUGGGCGACUAGAGUGUGGUAGAGGGUAGUGGAAUUCCCGGUGUAGCAGUGAAAUGCGUAGAGAUCGGGAGGAACAUCCAUGGCGAAGGCAGCUACCUGGACCAACACUGACACUGAGGCACG
rnacentral:rRNA from 1 species